ensembl:snRNA U2 U2 spliceosomal RNA
AUUGCUUCUCGGCCUUUUGGCUAAGAUCAAGUGUAGUAUCAUUUCCUUUUUCUAAAUUUUGUUUUUCUUUUUGGUAUACUUAGAAGCAACCAACUACCCCCA